rnacentral:misc_RNA from 1 species
UUAUUGUAAUGUUGAUUGUUGAAGUGGUUGAAUCAUAAAUUUUCAGUUCAUAAUAAUUUGCGUUUUCGUACUCAGCUAAGUUUGCUUCAGAAACUUUUGAAUAUUGAUCUAUUCAGAAAGUAAUUUGCCAACAGAAUUUUCAAGUUCUUUCCUUGGAAAUCUUAGAUUUUUGCUUAUUUGAAUAAUACAAGAGAGUUUCAGUUUGUAUACAUUACAUGAAGAUUUGAUGUUCCCUCCAAAAUGCAAGAAAAACCAUUUGUUUUGAAACUGUCCGUAUUCGACGAAGGGCGUCUGCCAUUCUUUCUUGGAGGUAAUAUCAAUACAACUUUACUGAAAAAGUUCACUCAUGAAGCCAAUGAGGAGUUAAAAGCUGUGAAGAAAGUAGGCAGAGACUAUGCGAACAAAUCAAAGAAUUUGUUGAAAUCGACAAUCAAAUCCACUUCUUCAAAAACAGACGAAGAAAAAUCUCUACAACUGAGAUAUAAUGAGCUGAAUGUUAAGUAUGAAAGCUUGGUCAACAACAACCUGCAGAUCGAAGCUCAAUGCGCUGCUAAGAAAGCUCUUGUUGAAGAAGAGUCUAAGAACAAAAAUUUCAAUUCGAAAAAAGCUGAACUAAAAGAGAACCUCGCGGUCUUGGAGAAAGAAUGGAUUAUUCAAAAAGAAGCUAUUGGAAGAAGUCAUCUUCAAAAUCUUUAUGAGUGCAAAUUUUAUGAAAAGUAUUUGAACUGCAAGUUGUUAGUGAAGAGCCCGUUAUCACUUGAAGUUCAGUUUCACCCUGGUUACCACUUUACCUUGAGCCUUACCGGACAAAACAAAUGGACUUUGGUCGAGAUCUCACCAAAAACCUUUCCGAUUGAAAAAUAUUCUAGAAAGUUUGAAAAUAAUGAAAACUUGCCAUUUUGUGUUGCUUCGCUACGAAAGCGAUUAGAAACGAAUUGGUCUACCUCGGAACAGCACCAUGGAGAUAAAGAGUAACAACGACGAGAUUGCUGGACAACUGACACUUUUCAAGUAACAAGUGAUGAGAAAUAGAAGAUGCAUUCUGUGAAAGGGACUUCAUGUUCAUCAGCGAUACACAGUACAGACACACACACAGUGCAGAGUUAGUCCGACCGCGCCCAAAAGCGCCAGUGCCACACAAAUUAUAGGCUCAGCUUACUUGAUACUGUAUUACAAUAUUAUUUCAUUGUUAAUAUAAAAUAUAAUUAAUAAUAAAAAUGCGAAAAGUAAACAUAA